CUUCGUUAUUUUCACCGUUUCGAACUACUCACGUCAAAACCGACCGUUGAAAGGACCGCGCCAAUGGUAAACGAAGUAAAGAACCAACAAAAAGCAACCGACCUAUUUAGAACUGCGCAAUCUCUGCCGGUCCGCCUCUUCGUGUAAUUCGAAAUUAUGAUUUGAAGUAGUUUGUAGAAAUUAAGCGAUCGCAAGUGCCUUGUAGAGAUAUCGAAUACCAUUGAAAAAAAUUAUAGUUCGACCAAUCUGACAGCGGAACCAAGAAAUGCUAGUCAAGGCUGUAAUAUUUCAUCGUUUCGCCCAUGCAUAUCGAUAAAAAUGUUACAAAUGUAAACAUAAUUAUAGGACGAUUCAUAAUUAAAGGUUCUUAGAGAUCUUCAUCAUGCAUAUUAAAAAAAAAUCCUGUCGUUAUAAUGCUACCAGCAGAAGUUAGCAGCUGAGGAAGGCGAGUAAGGCCGAAAUCGAAAACUUCAGAGUGCUGUUCAGAUGCAAUGAAACUGAGUAUUAUAUGCGAGCGUCGCGAAGAUGCGUCGAGUGCUGGUUACCGUUGGAAUUUGAAAUAAUCUUCUGGGUCGAGGCAUCUCGCACGUGUCUAAUUCAGGUAAACAAUAUCGAAACGAAGCAAGCAGCACCUGCGUACAAUAAAGUCGACUACCACGCAGAACAGACAUCAACGAUGGCGCAUAUCAAAAUUGACAGCCACGUCGAUGUCCUCGUAAACGUCACUGAGGCUGUUCAGGCGUUCUCAUACGCUUCGGAGUGCGUUUUACCGAAGAAAUUUUAAAAACAAGGAAUCGACAAUCUAACCUAGAAACUCAACCAUUACAGCACUUUCGGCACGCCUGAUUCAAUUCGGGAACGAUGUUCGUAACUUGAAAAUGCUUAUUUACAGACGAUUACCCGCAGAUUUAAAGCGGCACAAGAAGUCCUGUGCACAAAAAAACAUUGGAAGGGGUGUUUGUCACGUGAACAACAACAACAACAAUUAUAGACGUGUCACAAUGCUGUGGUGGCGUGGCAAAGAUGUGGACGCGUUCAUACGCACCAUCUACCAAUUUCACGCAAGGAUCGUGAUCCUCUUUCUACAGAUACAUUCGAAAACUUUUGAAGGAAGUUAUUCCAUUUUGUCGCUAAAAGAUAACUUGUCGAUAUGCAGAGAUAUGUAUA